UACGUAGGGUGCGAGCGUUGUCCGGAAUUAUUGGGCGUAAAGAGCUCGUAGGCGGCUUGUCGCGUCGGAUGUGAAAGCCCGGGGCUUAACUCCGGGUCUGCAUUCGAUACGGGCAGGCUAGAGUUCGGUAGGGGAGAUCGGAAUUCCUGGUGUAGCGGUGAAAUGCGCAGAUAUCAGGAGGAACACCGGUGGCGAAGGCGGAUCUCUGGGCCGAUACUGACGCUGAGGCGCGAAAGCUAGGGGAGCAAACAGG
rnacentral:rRNA from 1 species